rnacentral:lncRNA from 1 species
GGGGCUCAUGGUUUCAGAGGUCUCAGUCUGUAGGUGGCUGGCUUCAUGUUCAGAGCAUCAUGGCAGAAAGGAGCAAAGCAGCUCAGGACAUGGCAAUCAAGAGGAGGGAGGGGAAGAGAGAGAGAAAAAGGUAAGGAGAGAGAGAGAAAGAGAGCUAGCAAGUGCAAGGGGUGGGGGUAUAUUAUGCACUUCACUCACCAAGAGCAAAAUAUAUACCCCAAAGACAGCUCCCAAUGACCCAUAUCCCCUAGCCACACCCUAUCUGCCUAGAGUUACCAGCUAGUUAAUCGCUGUCAGGGAACUAAAGCACUGCUUAGUUUAAGGCUCAUAGAACCAAAUCAUUUCAUCUCUAAACUUCCUUGCAUUGUCUCAUACAUGAAUGUUGUGGGUACAUCUCAUAAUCUAGGCUAUAACAAAAGGUUGACUUCCUCUGAUUUCUACUUUAAGAGAAUUUCUAACUUUUAAGUUUAGAGAAAUAUCCACUGAAAAGCAAAUUAUUUCCCACAACGUGACUUUGAGCUGUUAAUGUCCCUCUAAACAAGUAGAGCAAUUCUUUUCCAUUCUUAUUAUGAAGUAGAUUACAGAGGGGAAAAGGGUAUAUUGUCAGGGAGGGGAGAGUAUUUGUGUCUGUUUUUGUGAUGCAUGUCUUCUAAUUUUUUCUUUCCUCAUGAAAUGGUGCAAGAUCUUCAAUUCAGAGUUAUAAUAAUAGGGAAGUUCAUGAAAUUGGAAAGGGGGUCUCUGGAAACAGGGGAAAAAGCAACUUUUGAAUUGGUAUGGGAAGCCAGGAUCCCAGAAACAAUAGCAGCAGCAAAACUAAUGUGAAAUGAAGAACCUACCAAAGGAGAAGGUGGGUAGAGGGUCCAAAUCCAGGACCACUUAACUAGAGACAAAUGGAGAUUUUAUCUUGUAGUUAUCUGUUAUGAUAUUUUAUUAUGAACACAUGAGAAUGAUGAGC